AUUGAACGCUGGCGGCAGGCCUAACACAUGCAAGUCGAGCGGAUGAGUGGAGCUUGCUCCAUGAUUCAGCGGCGGACGGGUGAGUAAUGCCUAGGAAUCUGCCUGGUAGUGGGGGACAACGUUUCGAAAGGAACGCUAAUACCACAUACGUCCUACGGGAGAAAGCAGGGGACCUUCGGGCCUUGCGCUAUCAGAUGAGCCUAGGUCGGAUUAGCUAGUAGGUGAGGUAAUGGCUCACCUAGGCGACGAUCCGUAACUGGUCUGAGAGGAUGAUCAGUCACACUGGAACUGAGACACGGUCCAGACUCCUACGGGAGGCAGCAGUGGGGAAUAUUGGACAAUGGGCGAAAGCCUGAUCCAGCCAUGCCGCGUGUGAAGAAGGUCUUCGGAUUGUAAAGCACUUUAAGUUGGGAGGAAGGGCAGUAAGUUAAUACCUUGCUGUUUUGACGUUACCAACAGAAUAAGCACCGGCUAACUUCGUGCCAGCCGCCGCGGUAAGAC
rnacentral:rRNA from 1 species